AAUUCACAUCUUGCAAAUGUGGUCCAAGGCAGAACACCUUAGAUUUUAUACCUUGAAGCUCAGGCCCAGGAUUCAACUUGGCAGAUUUUGUUCCUUGCAACUGUGGUCCAGGGUUGAAAUCUAAAGAUUGUAUACCUUGAAGCCUUGUUCCUAGGCACAACUCAGAAGAUUUCACACCUUGCAACUGUUGCUGAAGAUUGAAUUUCAUAGAUUUUACAUCUUGAAGCUUUGUCCCUGUGCAUAAUUCUGAAGAUUUUCUAUGUUGCAGAUGUGGCUCAGGAUUGAACACCAUAAAUUUUACACUUUGAAGGUCUGGCCAUGGAUUCAAUUUAUGAGAUUUCUCAUCUUGCUGCUGCUUUUCAGCAUUGAACUCAGAAGGUGCCACACUAUGAAUCUUUGAUUCCAAGGCCAACUUAGAGAGUUUUGCAACCUGCAAUUCUGGGUCAUGGUUGCCUUCUGUAGAGUUCACCGUCUGAAGCUUUAUCAACCCAGAUUUCAUAUCUUCCAACUUUGCCCCAGGAUUAUAUUCUACAGAUUUCACACCCUGAAGGUGUAUCCCUGGUGUCAACAUAGAUAAUUUUCUAUCUUGUAACUGUGAAGUUGAGCUUAACUCCAAAGAUGUCCUAUCCUGUACCUUUGUACCUACAGUCAAUUCAGAAGAUUUCACAUCUUGCCGCAUUGGCCUAGGCAUGAGCACAGAUUUCACUUUUUGAAGCUUUGUCGCUGGGAUCACUUCAGAAGAUUUCAUACCUUGCAAGUGUGAUCCAGAACUGAACUCCAUAGAUUUUACAUCUUGAAGCUCUGUCCCCAUUAUUGAGUUAGAAUAUUUUGUAUCUUGCCACUGUGGGCCCGAGUUGAACUCCACAGAUUCCCCACCUUGAAGCUUUGUCUCUGGUGUUAACUCAGAAGAUGUCACACCUUGUAACUUUAGACCAUGGUGGAAUUCUACAGAUUUAACAUCUUGAUGGUUUGUUCCCUGAAUCAACUCAGAAGAUUUUUCGCUUUGUGUCUGUUGUCCAGAAUUGAAAUCCAUUGAUUUCAUACUUUGAAGCCUUGUCCCUGAGGUUACCUCAGAAGAUUUUAUACCUUGAAAGUGUUGUCCA
rnacentral:lncRNA from 1 species